rnacentral:rRNA from 1 species
GCAACUCGCCUACAUGAAGUCGGAAUUGCUAGUAAUCGCGGAUCAGCAUGCCGCGGUGAAUACGUUCCCGGGCCUUGUACACACCGCCCGUCACACCAUGGGAGUCGGUAACACCCGAAGCCUGUAGUCUAACCGCAAGGAGGACGCAGUCGAAGGUGGGAUUGAUGACUGGGGUGAAGUCGUAACAAGGUAAC